UAGGGAAUCUUCCGCAAUGGGCGCAAGCCUGACGGAGCGACGCCGCGUGUGUGAAGAAGGUCUUCGGAUCGUAAAGCACUGUUAUCAGGGAUGAACCACUAGGAGAGUAACUGCUCUUAGUCUGACAGUACCUGACCAGAAAGCCACGGCUAACUACGUGCCAGCAGCCGCGGUAAUACGUAGGUGGCAAGCGUUGUCCGGAUUUAUUGGGCGUAAAGGGAGCGCAGGCGGUGGAUUAAGUCUGAUGUGAAAGCCCACGGCUCAACCGUGGAAUGGCAUUGGAAACUGGUUCACUUGAAUGCAGGAGAGGUAAGUGGAAUUCCAUGUGUAGCGGUGAAAUGCGUAGAUAUAUGGAGGAACACCAGUGGCGAAGGCGGCUUACUGGCCUGUGAUUGACGCU
rnacentral:rRNA from 1 species